rnacentral:rRNA from 1 species
UCAGGCCUAACACAUGCAAGUCGUACGAGGUGUAAAUAAUUCACUUGUGAAUUGUUUAUUACUACAGUGGCGCACGGGUGAGUAACACGUAAGAACCUGCCUUUUGGAGGGGGAUAACAUAGGGAAACCUUUGCUAAUACCCCAUAAAGCUGAGGAGCUAAAUCGCAUUUGCGGCCAAGAGAGGGGCUUGCGCCUGAUUAGCUAGUUGGGGAGGUAAUGGCUUCCCAAGGCCACGAUCAGUAGUUGGUCUGAGAGGAUGAUCAGCCACACUGGGACUGAGACACGGCCCAGACUCCUACGGGAGGCAGCAGUGAGGAAUUUUCCGCAAUGGGCGAAAGCCUGACGGAGCAAUACCGCGUGAAGGAAGAAGGAUCGUGGUCUGUAAACUUCUUUUCUCGAGAAGAAGAU